rnacentral:rRNA from 1 species
AAUAAGAGGUCCCGCCUGCCCAGUGACUCUCAGUUUAACGGCCGCGGUAUUUUGACCGUGCAAAGGUAGCGCAAUCACUUGUCUUUUAAAUGGAGACCUGUAUGAAUGGCAUCACGAGGGCUUAACUGUCUCCUUUCUUCAGCCAAUGAAAUUGAUCUCCCCGUGCAGAAGCGGGGAUACCUACAUAAGACGAGAAGACCCUAUGGAGCUUCAGACACCAAAGCAGCCUACGUCAAGCACACUGAUACAAAAGACCAAACUAAGUAGAACCUGCCCUAAUGUCUUCGGUUGGGGCGACCUUGGGGAAAUAAAAAACCCCCAUGAGGAAUGGAAGCAUGCUUUCACAACCAAGAGCUCCCGCUCUAAGAACCAGAACUUCUGACCACUAGAUCCGGCAACGCCGAUCAACGGACCGAGUUACCCUAGGGAUAACAGCGCAAUCUCCUUACAGAGCCCUUAUCGACAAGGGGGUUUACGACCUCGAUGUUGGAUCAGGACAUCCUAAUGGUGCAGCCGCUAUUAAAGGUUCGUUUGUUCAACGAUUAAAGUCCU